CAUAUUUCUCCACUCGAUGCUGCGCCUCACGAUUGAUUCGCUUAUGAUUCCGGUUUUCACUAUUCUGGCGAACUCAUCCAAAUUCAGGGCAGUUUCAGUUCUCUCCCCGCCUUAUGAUAUUGUACUUAUUAUGUGAUUAUAAUUGUUUGUACAUUGAGGGCAAUGUGCAUCUUAAGUGUGUGGAGGUUGUUUAAAUGUUUAUGCGAUAAAAUCUCUGAACUGUUUUUCGUGUUUGAGUAAUUUUCUCAUACCUAGCAUUGAAGUAACAUAUUUUAAUUUAAAGUUUGUAUUGAUUUUGUUUUGGAAUAAUUUGUGGAUUUUUGUGAA